GUAUAAGUUUUAUAGGUCAAAAGACCCACAAGUUACAUUCUAGACUUUUUAUAGUAGAUGAGACGUAGACUGUGAAGUCGAAAGACAGCUAAACGCAAGUCCUUCAAUCCAACGGAGUAAACCAUUGAGAGUUAUCAGUCUACAAAAGUGCACAGGUGGUAAAGAUGAAUUUGAAGUGCGUGCACAUGCUUCGAAAAGCCAGCUACAACACCCCAUGAAUUCAGUAAUGAUCCUUCCGCAGGUUCACCUACGGAAA
rnacentral:misc_RNA from 1 species